UCGAGCGGUAACAGAUCCAGCUUGCUGGAUGCUGACGAGCGGCGGACGGGUGAGUAAUGCAUAGGAAUCUGCCCGAUAGUGGGGGAUAACCUGGGGAAACCCAGGCUAAUACCGCAUACGUCCUACGGGAGAAAGGGGGCUCCGGCUCCCGCUAUGGGAUGAGCCUAUGUCGGAUUAGCUAGUUGGUGAGGUAACGGCUCACCAAGGCCACGAUCCGUAGCUGGUCUGAGAGGAUGAUCAGCCACAUCGGGACUGAGACACGGCCCGAACUCCUACGGGAGGCAGCAGUGGGGAAUAUUGGACAAUGGGGGAAACCCUGAUCCAGCCAUGCCGCGUGUGUGAAGAAGGCCCUCGGGUUGUAAAGCACUUUCAGCGAGGAAGAACGCCUAGCGGUUAAUACCCGCUAGGAAAGACAUCACUCGCAGAAGAAGCACCGGCUAACUCCGUGCCAGCAGCCGCGGUAAUACGGAGGGUGCAAGCGUUAAUCGGAAUUACUGGGCGUAAGCGCGCGUAGGUGGCUUGAUAAGCCGGUUGUGAAAGCCCCGGGCUCAACCUGGGAACGGCAUCCGGAACUGUCAAGCUAGAGUGCAGGAGAGGAAGGUAGAAUUCCCGGUGUAGCGGUGAAAUGCGUAGAGAUCGGGAGGAAUACCAG
rnacentral:rRNA from 1 species